rnacentral:rRNA from 1 species
CCUACGGGUGGCAGCAGUGGGGAAUAUUGCACAAUGGGGGAAACCCUGAUGCAGCGACGCCGCGUGAGUGAAGAAGUAUUUCGGUAUGUAAAGCUCUAUCAGCAGGGAAGAAAAUGACGGUACAUGACUAAGAAGCCCCGGCUAACUACGUGCCAGCAGCCGCGGGAAUACGUAGGGGGCACGCGUUAUCCGGAUUUACUGGGUGUAAAGGGAGCGUAGACGGUGGUACAAGUCAGACGUGAAAGCCCGGGGCUCAACUCCGGGACUGCAUUUGAAACUGUGUGACUGGAGUGCAGGAGAGGAAAGCGGAAUUCCUGGUGUAGCGGUGAAAUGCGUAGAUAUAAGGAGGAACACCAGUGGCGAAGGCGGCUGACUGGACUGUAACUGACGUUGAGGCUCGAAAGCGUGGGGAGCAAACAGGAUUAGAUACCCUUGUAGUC